CACGCGCAGACACACAGACGCACACUUCCCCAGGCCCUUGGCUACCUCACUGUCAAUCAAGUACUGAAUAAGAGAUAGCCCUCUCCUGGGGGGCCGUGGCCCUCUUGGAUAGCAGCCUCCAGGAAAUAUCAGCCAAAUGAAGGAAGGAGGGAAUGCACCACAAGACCAGACAAUUGUGCCCAUUCGUUGCAAAUGAAGAGCGGUGGGAGCAGGGAAGGCAGCCGCUCAUUCGGGAAAGGCUUUGCCUUCGAUGACGAUGUGGUGAAGGAGGGAGUGUGAUAAGGGCCCAGCCUGCGGAGGGCUGAUGCCAGAAGUGGACCCCGGGUAUCCUGAUGGCAGAGACUGUAGAGCUCUGGUCUCCACACCGUCUGAAGGCCUUUGUUCCAAGUCGCGUCUAGUGCUCUGCGACUCUAACGUCUUUCUUCUUCACUGAUGUGUAGUUAGUUUCCUGCUAACCUGAAUAAAAGGGAGAAGUUCUGGGAAGGAUGCAUUAUGAAGGCAAAACGAAAAUUCUACUAUGGGUGGAAUGGAAUAACAUUUGUUGACAAGAUGGAUGCUGGGUUUUUGGUGAUCGCUAUCACGCGACCAAGGUUUGCUUCUCCCGGCCAGCUGGUUAGCUGCACGGUCCUGAGACCACCAGGAGACAUGCAGAGAUGGCAGAUGCCAUGCUUCAUGGGAAGAGAAGAUGGACUGUGGUGACAGACCAUAUAGCUGUCCCCUCUUCUCGUGCCAUCCUUCCCUGUGUCCCUGCCUUUGUGUAAUCCCGCCCCCCUCCGCAUAACUAAUAAAAUAUGGCAAACACGGUGGGAUGCCACUCUGUGAUUAUUUAAGCAAGACUCCCACCUUGCUAGUGGAUUUACCCAUAGUCUCUCUCCCCUCGUUGGCCAAGGGAACCGAUGGAUCCUAGAGUUGAAAGGAAUCAAACCCUAUCUGCAACCAGGUACGUGAGGAAGCAGAUACUUUCCUGGGUUAGCCUCUGAUGAGAACCCAGCUCUGGCCAACAUACUGGCCACAGCCUUGGGAGACUCUGGGCAGAAGACCCGGCUAAGCAGUGCUCGGACUCCUGGCCCACAGAAAAUAUGGGACCAUAAGUGUCUGUUUUGUUCAGCCACUGAGUUUGUGGUAAU